UAAUUCCUUCUUUCUUGUCGAUCUGAUUCUCUUCUUCAUCUUCAUCGGCGAUCUCUCGAUCUCAAUCUCAAGAGAUCGAGAAGAAAAACAUUGAUCUCUCAAUCUCCGAUCUCUUCUUAUCAUUCUCUUCUUCACCAUCGAUCUCUCAAUCUCCAAUCUCUUCUUCCUCAUCAACCUUCCACAUCGAUCACAAGAGAAAAAGUUAUCUUCAAAGUUCAAAUCUCAAGAGAGAGGCGAAGUUCUCUUCAGACGAAAUUGGAGUUUUUUGCUUCUCACUUUCUCUCCUUAAGGUAUUUCGAAUUGAACGAUUGUUUAUGAUUUUCAAUUGAUUUCCAGCUUCAUUCUUCUCUCAAUUGUUUAUGAUUGUUUAUGACUUAGGGUUCUAAAUCAAAGGUUUUAUCAAUCUCUAUUGUUUAUGUAAAUUUUUGUUGAUCGAAUUUCACUGAUUCCAGUUUAUUGACUUAUAAAUGUGAUUGAGAUUGUUAGGUUUAAUGGUCAUUAUACAUUUAUAGAGCAAUAAACUCAAUUCAUACUUUAUAGGUACCUUAAUAAUUGUAGGAACUUUAGCAAUAAACUCAAUCCAUACUUUAUAGGUACCUUGAUAAUUGUAGGAACUUUAGCAAUAAACUCAAUCCAUACUUAAUAUAGAGCUCUUGUUACUGGAAAUUCCAUUGUUUUGCACAGACUUGUUCAUCAUUAUAUGAUAAUAAUAAUUUCACGACUUUGGUUUUAUUGCUAAAAUUCCUAUAAUUACGAAUCAUACAUUAUGUAAGGUUGAAAUACACAAUAACACAAUUGGUGCUCGAUACAGAUACUAAAUCCGCUUGUUGUAAAGAGCUAAUAUCUAGGUACAAUAGUUUGCUUCUUACUCUUCUUUCUCUCACUUGUACUUCUUAUUUUGACAAUGUUGAGUCCCUUUAUCAUUUGUUGUUUCUUCACACUUCAUAAUUCUAAUCUGAUAACACUAAUUAGUUUUUUUUUGUGCGUAAUAUCUAUAUUUAUAUCUAUUCGUUCUAAUGACUAGUGGCUUUGACAAUUAGAACCAUAACAAUUCCGGAAUCAAAUAUUAUACCAAAAUAUUGAGUGAAUUAUAAUAUCUAGGGAUUUAAACGGACCAAUAUUCUGUUGUUUUUUCACUCAACAUUUUGAUUAAUCUCCUCAUAUUAAUUGUUUACUUAUUAUUGUCUGUAGUAUUUUGUUGAAUUGC
rnacentral:lncRNA from 1 species